UCCGGAGUGGCUCAACGGUAGAGCGGGUGGCUGUUAACCACUAGGUUGGGGGUUCAAAUCCCUCCUCCGGAG
rnacentral:tRNA from 1 species